GCUGCUGUAGCUCAGUAGGUAGAGCGCAUCCUUAGUAAGGAUGAGGUCGGCGGUUCGAAUCCGCCCAGCAGCUCCA
rnacentral:tRNA from 1 species